rnacentral:ncRNA from 1 species
UGCGAUGAGUCGAGUCAGACCGGACAAAUUUUUGUCGUGCUGAGGCACCAAGCGGUCUAAUCGAAUGCGGGGCACAGAUGCUACCGGAUUGUAGCGUGUCUAGUCAUAAAUAUUGUGGAGU